rnacentral:rRNA from 1 species
AUGGCCGCCUCAGUACAAACGCCUUGUGUUCUCUCAGCUCUAGUGCGCCCUCGCCAAGAACCCGCCAUCGCCGCCGCCUCCCGGCCUCCGCUUCCACGUCUUGAGGUCUCCGGCGUCGACCGAAGCAGCAGCACCAUGAAGCGCCUGCUCAGACGGCUCUCCCGCGUGGCCGCGGCAGACGCCUGCGCCGCCGCCGCGUACAAGCCACUCCGGCCCGACGCGGCCGCGAAGGCCUCCUCCACGGCCGCUUCGUCGUCCUCGUUCUUCGGCGCGCGAAGGCUCGGCCGCGGCGCACGGGUGCCGGAGGGGCACGUGCCGGUGUGCGUUGGCGAGAACGGCGGCCCCGUGGAGCGCUUCGCUGUUCGGGCCGAGCUCCUGUGCCAGCCGGCGUUCAAGGCCCUGCUCCGGCGCGCCGCGCAGGAGUACGGCUACGACCACCCGGGCGCGCUCCGCAUCCCCUGCGCCGUCGCCAACUUCCGCCGCCUCCUCCUCGGCCUCUCCGACCCCGGCUGCCAGGCCACCGACGACGACGAUGCCGCGCUCUACUACUAG